AGACAGACUACAGCCUUGAAGACACCAUGUCCUCCCGAAGGAGGCUCAGCAGCACUCAUGUACAGGGGAAAAGCUGUCCCGUGGACCAAGGAUACAACCCUCAGCUGAGAACCACAGCCCAGAAUCACAGGUCCAAGGCAACAGAAGUGAGAAUGGUACCAUUCAAAGUUAUCCCUAGGAUGCACUUGCAAAUUUUUCACUUCCUGUUCUCAACACUUUCUACUGCGCUGGCCUAGAAGUCUUAGUUCCAGACAGGACAUCCCCUAAGAUAUCUGCCACUAUUACCUUGCCCUGUUAGUAAGGGCAGUGUGAAACUACGACAACCCAAUCCAGGCAGGAUGAGAAGAAGUUCAAAACCUUCAGCGAUGGAUCACUGUACUAAGUAAAGAAAAGACCUGCUGAGGUGCUUGCUGAAGGCCAAGGGAAUACAAAGUGAGAAGUAGAAGAAGGUGGUUACAAAUACCAGCUACAGCCAAGUGACCAGCUACAGAAACAAGGAUGGUAACUGUCAUGACCAUUUGUCUCCUGUUUUUUUAAUAUGCUCAUGCAUACAU